AAAACUUUGAGUAAUCAAUCCAUGGAGAAAAUAUCAGAUAGGCUUUCAGGGCUUGAUAACCUCUAUUUCCCACGCGCUCAGCAAUCGUCCGCCUCCACUGCCUUCCAACGCAAAUCCCUCCUUAUCGACCUUCUCUCUCGCGACACUCCCCUUUUUCUAGAACGUUAUGGAUCACAGUUAACAUCAGAUGAGCUAAAUGAAUUUGGAACUAUGGAAAAUGAUUAUGAAAUCAAUUGGCAUCUGAAUCACCUGCGAAGUGUAAUUAGCCCAACACAAGAAGAUCUGAAGUCCAGAUCAGUUAAGAUUAAGAACAGACGGCGAGCAUAUCUGGACAAAUUGGUAAAUGAUGGACAGUACUUUUCAGAGGAUGCAAUGAGGGAAAGAGAGCCAUAUUUGCAUCAUGAGUAUAUUGGGAGGUUUCAGGAUCCAAGUGGUAGGAGCAUGGCAAGACCGGGAGAGCGAUGGUCUGAAACACUUAUGAGGCGGUCAGAAGAGGCAGUGCUUGUUAAGAAAAUUAGGGAUGAGCAACAGAGACGAGGCGUGGCUCAAAGUGAUUGGGUAGGGUUUGAUAAUCAGGAACUUGAGAAGAUGGAGGAGGAAGAAGAAGAAGAAACCGAGGAAGAGGAGGAGGAGGAGGAG
rnacentral:misc_RNA from 1 species